CGCCCAUAGCUCCUUCGACGGCGCCGCCUAGGAACGCGGAGAAAAUAUGACAAAGGAACGGCCAAAAAUAAAAAGAAAGACCUUUCUUUUGAAAAAACAAACAAAUAAAAGGAAUGCAACACAAGGACUUCCCAGGAGGUCACCCAUCCUAGUACUACUCUCGCCCAAGCACGCUUAACUUCGGAGUUCUGAUGGGAUCCGGUGCUUUAGUGCUGGUAUGAUCGCAUCCGACAUACCGUGCGUUCUCCUCCCCUUUAUGCCCGCGCCUCCGUGUACGGCCCGCCCAUAGCUCCUUCGACGGCGCCGCCUAGGAACGCGGAGAAAAUAUGACAAAGGAACGGCCAAAAAUAAAAAGAAAGACCUUUCUUUUGAAAAAACAAACGCCUCCGUGUACGGCCCGCCCAUAGCUCCUUCGACGGCGCCGCCUAGGAACGCGGAGAAAAUAUGACAAAGGAACGGCCAAAAAUAAAAAGAAAGACCUUUCUUUUGAAAAAACAAACAAAAAAAAGGAAUGCAACACGAGGACUUCCCAGGAGGUCACCCAUCCUAGUACUACUCUCGCCCAAGCACGCUUAACUUCGGAGUUCUGAUGGGAUCCGGUGCUUUAGUGCUGGUAUGAUCGCAUCCGACAUACCGUGCGUUCUCCUCCCCUUUAUGCCCGCGCCUCCGUGUACGGCCCGCCCAUAGCUCCUUCGACGGCGCCGCCUAGGAACGCGGAGAAAAUAUGACAAAGGAACGGCCAAAAAUAAAAAGAAAGACCUUUCUUUUGAAAAAACAAACGCCUCCGUGUACGGCCCGCCCAUAGCUCCUUCGACGGCGCCGCCUAGGAACGCGGAGAAAAUAUGACAAAGGAACGGCCAAAAAUAAAAAGAAAGACCUUUCUUUUGAAAAAACAAACAAAAAAAAGGAAUGCAACACGAGGACUUCCCAGGAGGUCACCCAUCCUAGUACUACUCUCGCCCAAGCACGCUUAACUUCGGAGUUCUGAUGGGAUCCGGUGCUUUAGUGCUGGUAUGAUCGCAUCCGACAUACCGUGCGUUCUCCUCCCCUUUAUGCCCGCGCCUCCGUGUACGGCCCGCCCAUAGCUCCUUCGACGGCGCCGCCUAGGAACGCGGAGAAAAUAUGACAAAGGAACGGCCAAAAAUAAAAAGAAAGACCUUUCUUUUGAAAAAACAAACAAAUAAAAGGAAUGCAACACGAGGACUUCCCAGGAGGUCACCCAUCCUAGUACUACUCUCGCCCAAGCACGCUUAACUUCGGAGUUCUGAUGGGAUCCGGUGCUUUAGUGCUGGUAUGAUCGCAUCCGACAUACCGUGCGUUCUCCUCCCCUUUAUGCCCGCGCCUCCGUGUACGGCCCGCCCAUAGCUCCUUCGACGGCGCCGCCUAGGAACGCGGAGAAAAUAUGACAAAGGAACGGCCAAAAAUAAAAAGAAAGACCUUUCUUUUGAAAAAACAAACAAAAAAAAAGGAAUGCAACACGAGGACUUCCCAGGAGGUCACCCAUCCUAGUACUACUCUCGCCCAAGCACGCUUAACUUCGGAGUUCUGAUGGGAUCCGGUGCUUUAGUGCUGGUAUGAUCGCAUCCGACAUACCGUGCGUUCUCCUCCCCUUUAUGCCCGCGCCUCCGUGUACGGCCCGCCCAUAGCUCCUUCGACGGCGCCGCCUAGGAACGCGGAGAAAAUAUGACAAAGGAACGGCCAAAAAUAAAAAGAAAGACCUUUCUUUUGAAAAAACAAACAAAAAAAAGGAAUGCAACACGAGGACUUCCCAGGAGGUCACCCAUCCUAGUACUACUCUCGCCCAAGCACGCUUAACUUCGGAGUUCUGAUGGGAUCCGGUGCUUUAGUGCUGGUAUGAUCGCAUCCGACAUACCGUGCGUUCUCCUCCCCUUUAUGCCCGCGCCUCCGUGUACGGCCCGCCCAUAGCUCCUUCGACGGCGCCGCCUAGGAACGCGGAGAAAAUAUGACAAAGGAACGGCCAAAAAUAAAAAGAAAGACCUUUCUUUUGAAAAAACAAACAAAAAAAAGGAAUGCAACACGAGGACUUCCCAGGAGGUCACCCAUCCUAGUACUACUCUCGCCCAAGCACGCUUAACUUCGGAGUUCUGAUGGGAUCCGGUGCUCUAGUGCUGGUAUGAUCGCAUCCGACAUACCGUGCGUUCUCCUCCCCUUUAUGCCCGCGCCUCCGUGUACGGCCCGCCCAUAGCUCCUUCGACGGCGCCGCCUAGGAACGCGGAGAAAAUAUGACAAAGGAACGGCCAAAAAUAAAAAGAAAGACCUUUCUUUUGAAAAAACAAACAAAAAAAAAGGAAUGCAACACGAGGACUUCCCAGGAGGUCACCCAUCCUAGUACUACUCUCGCCCAAGCACGCUUAACUUCGGAGUUCUGAUGGGAUCCGGUGCUUUAGUGCUGGUAUGAUCGCAUCCGACAUACCGUGCGUUCUCCUCCCCUUUAUGCCCGCGCCUCCGUGUACGGCCCGCCCAUAGCUCCUUCGACGGCGCCGCCUAGGAACGCGGAGAAAAUAUGACAAAGGAACGGCCAAAAAUAAAAAGAAAGACCUUUCUUUUGAAAAAACAAACAAAUAAAAGGAAUGCAACACGAGGACUUCCUAGGAGGUCACCCAUCCUAGUACUACUCUCGCCCAAGCACGCUUAACUUCGGAGUUCUAAUGGGAUCCGGUGCUUUAGUGCUGGUAUGAUCGCAUCCGACAUACCGUGCGUUCUCCUCCCCUUUAUGCCCGCGCCUCCGUGUACGGCCCGCCCAUAGCUCCUUCGACGGCGCCGCCUAGGAAC
rnacentral:lncRNA from 1 species